rnacentral:rRNA from 1 species
CCGGCACGGGUGAGUAACACGUAUGCAAUCCACCUGUAACAGGGGGAUAACCCGGAGAAAUCCGACUAAUACCCAUAAUAUGGGCGCUCCGCAUGGAGAGCCCAUUAAAGAGAGCAAUUUUGGUUACAGACGAGCAUGCGCUCCAUUAGCCAGUUGGCGGGGUAACGGCCCACCAAAGCGACGAUGGAUAGGGGUUCUGAGAGGAAGGUCCCCCACAUUGGAACUGAGACACGGUCCAA